rnacentral:lncRNA from 1 species
CGGAAAUAUAAAAUGCAACAUCUCUCUUCUUUUUUUUUGCUUUUUUUUUUGGAUUUUUGACUUGUAACACAUUUCCAAAUACAAUAACAAAACACUCGGCAAAUUUAACUAGACUAUUACAAACUCAAAAAUUAACUAAAUGAUUGAAUAAUACUGUACAGGACUAGAAAGUAAAACAUGAACAAAAGACUUUAAAACAUAAACAACUCCUCAGGCAACUCCCGAAUGCAGUGAUCCUGGGGUAUCUGUCAUGUUCAAACUCCGGUAAAUAAAUCCACACCUGUAUGAGAAAAUUAAAACCAAAUAGGUUAAAGGCCUAGAACGCUAUGUGAGACAAAACCCCUUCAUGUUGGAAACAUGCAAGACAUGAUUUAGACAAUUUUUGCAAAAUGGCUUAUUUGGCCAAAAAAUGGCUAGAAGUGCAAAAUUUGGCUAAGACCCCGCAAAGCCAAGAAUCUAAGAUUUACUAGGAAGACCGGACCCUAUGUGGGUUGCCUACGUAUCACGCCCCGAAAGACGAGAAUCAGGUAUGCGUAGUUCGGGCCGAUUGGAUACGGGUGAGAAUUAAAAAAAACAACUAAUUUAGAGAAAACAGAUUUUUUGCUUUUUCUUGAAAAAUGAUGAAACAUGCAAAAUCAUUUUUUUUGGAUUUUCUUUUUCCCCUUUUUUUUGAUUUUCUGAUUUCUGACAAAUGAUGAAAAAGUACAAAAUCUUUUUUUGAAUUUUUCAUGUUUUUUUUUCUUAACAAAAAUAUGACAGAAAAUAUAAUCGGGCCCUACUUGCUUUAUUUUCACACUUCACCCUCUCUUUUUCUUUCUCUUUUUUUUUUCUUUUGUAUUUCUUUUUUCAUUGUUUUUUUUCAUUUCUUCAUUUACCCUCGGCUAUCAUUGGUCCGCCAAAUGACCCCUUUACCCUUGAAUAAAUGCAACAUGUAGCACAUAAGAUGCAUCAGAAUGGUCUUUUAUUUUUUGGGGUAUACCUGUCCUAGACGGACCCAACCCCUGUGUUGAGUCCCCUAAGUCAAGUACACAUGAUGCAAACAAGCGUUCCUACUAGGGAUCCGACAUGAGGCUGUCUUUUUCUAGAUUUAAAUCCUGGGGUGGUGUUCUAGACUUGGGUACCCGAGCGGACAAUUGGGGCCGAAGAGGGGGCGACGUACCGGGAGCACUGAAGUCUACCCGGCCUUGUCGCUUGCCCAGCCUCGUUCUAUUUGGUAUAAUUUUUACAGAAAAAGUGGGUCACGCGAACGUGUGCACCAUUUUCAGAAGACUUAGAGGGGUGGCAUAAGAAGACAGUUAUAUACAAUUCAAACAGUAUUAAAGCGGUAAACAGAUAGCAUUUAGCACAAAAGGUUCACAGAAUACAGUAAUAUCAACAAUAAAUAAAGCCAAGCAAAAUCAUAUUAACAAGCUCGAAUUCUGAACCCCGAACCAGAGAUUCUAGGUUCGUCUCCCCAGCAGAGUCGCCAGAGCUAUCACACCUCCUUUUGCUUACCCUCCCCCGGAAGAGUGUAUAUAAGGGAGUUUUUCCAAUUAAAGGAAAAUCGAAAUGAGAUUUAUUUAUUUAAAGAUUCAGAGUCGCCACUUGGGAGAUUUAUGGUGUCCCAAGUCACCGGUUCAAAUCCCGAAUCGAGGAAAAAGAUUGACUCUGUUUAACAGUCCGCGAACCAGAAAUCCGAGUAAGGAAUUCUGUUAACCCGGGAGAAGGUGUUAGGCAUUCCCGAGUUCCGUGGUUCUAGCACAGUCGCUUUGAUUAUACUUGGCUUACUAAAUUAUCUAAUUACUUAUUUUUAAACCUAUGUGCAUCUACCCCGUUAACCGCUUUUAUUUGUUUAAUUACUAUUAAUUAUGGAAUUAUUUUUAAAAAAUGAGUCACGCGCGUGUACUCAUUUCAUUUGGCGCGUCAAAAUCGUGUCACGCAUAUGUAUCCACAAUUAAUCACGUCUUAUAUUAAUAAGAUUGUUUCACCCAAAAUUGCGUGAACGCAUACCUUGGUUUUAAUUUCUGGAAUCGUAACUAUGUCACGCGAACGUGUACACAACCACGAUAAUUUAUUAAUUAGAUUAGUGCCUAUAGCAUACUACCGUGCUCUUCAGCACAUUAGGUUAUUUAUGAGUGUUUAACCCACUUUUAGUGAGAAAACUAGCUACAUGGCAACUGCAACUUAGGAAUAUACUCAUAUGAGCCUUACAAGAAUGUGGUCAACUCUUUUAAAACUUCAAGCAUGAAAAAUCAGUACCAAUAUCCACAUUAACUUCACCUUAAUUUAACACUUAAACUAGAUAUCACUCUGCCUCAGAUCAAUCAUCGCAAGGCAUAUGUUUGUAAAGCAUAACGUAGUUACACAUACAAGCACAUUAAAGUCUACAAUUAUUCAACAGAUGAAAGUAAAAGGCAAAUUCAUAAACAACAACCUAUAUUAGUAAAAAUAGUUAUUGGAGUAACGUUCAUGUGUGUAUCAAAGUUCUAACAACUCAAUAUAAGGAAGCAAAUAGCUAACAUUUCCUCAACAAAAACCCAAUUUUUUGGUUUGCAAAACUCAAAAAAAAAUGUGUAGUAGAUAAAACUGGUCAUUUACAAAGUAGCACGUACCCUUUUUCUUUUCUUGGAGGGCAUGAUAGCAAAAUUGACUCUACUGCUUCAGUAAUUAGUAUUUUUCAGCAAAAUACAAAAACAACGAGAUUCUAGCAAGGACCACGAACGCGAUUUUGACCGGAGAACCUCCGACAACAUACUCGACGAUAACCUCGACGGACCUGACACGACGGCCUGAACAGAUUCACUCGACAUGGAUUUGGGUAGCAAUUUCGAGCUGACUUUCGCACUGAUUUGAGUUAGUUUCAGGGAGUUUUGGAGCUAGGUUUACCACUGGGUUCAAACCCGGUUCGCCGGAUUCUCUGGAAAGUCGUUGGAAUCACACAUUUCCGGUCAGAUUUGGUUCCAUCUGUAUGUGCGCCCUACUGUUUCUCGGUAGCAAAACGGGGAAGGGUCGUGGGUUGAUUUUUCUGGUUUUCAAUCGGAGGAGAGGAAGCAGCAAUGAUGGGUUCUUCGGCGUAGGGCUUUGGUCGUUUGGAGAAGACGAUGGGCAGGGGGGUCUCUUGUAAAGGCUGCGUUGAUUUUGCUUUUCAGCUUUUUGUCCCUUUUUUGUUUUUAGCCUUCUCCGUUCUUUUUUAUUUAUGCAGUCUAGGUUUUUGGUAGGGUUUUAGGUUAAG